CAAUGUUUUGCUCAUGGCAGUACGUGUUUGUUAACUCUGUAGUAUUAACACAUGAUUAACACCUGUAUUCAAGACGUCGACCUCUUUACAGUUUCAUUGUGAAACCCUUCCUGUGGAGAGGUGAUCCUUGGCACCAGUAGUGUGGAAGAGGAGCGAGAGGCACACCAACACCAGCAGAUGAGUCUCCGUUUAAUACUUGGGAUAUUAUAACAGUAAGUUAUAGCUCCGAUAGUCUUCCAGCAGCAGCAAAUGUUACACAGUCCUAUAGAGGCAAACUUGAAGUAUAAGGUAAUAGUGUUUUGCAUACAAUGGCAAACUUGACCUUUCGCUUAAAAUGGAGUAUCGGCUUUGAAAUUUGGUCACUGGAUACAACUAUAUUAUCUUUCAUGUUGAUAGCAGCAAUCAUCAGAUUGCAAUCCAGUUAAGUACCUGUGAGGCAUGAGAUGUCAAAAAUACUUGUGGGUUAUUGGUAGCCUGUGUCAAGGCAUGUGGCACCUCAAAGUUUCCUUUGCAAACUUGCAGUAUAGGUUACCUGCUGCGAAAUAUUUACUGGAAGAAAUGGUUUCUUGAAUAGGACCGAAAGGAAAACCAUUGAAAAUGCCAAACGUGAAUUGGUGAAACAUCUUGUGCUCAAUACUAAAUUUCAUUUGCAAAACACGGAAGUAUUCUAGAAAGGGUGCCAGAAAUGGAAGAGUAUAAUUUUUAUUAAAUCGGGCAUUAAAUGUAAGUAGGUUGGAGUACAGAAAGGGUGCAACUGGCCUUCCCCACUGUAGCCUGAUGUGCUCCAACAUGCAUUUGUACUGAUGUGCAGGUGGUUAUAACACUAGUAUCAAACUGCAUGGUACCCGCUUACUAAUGUGACCUACCCUUGCAUGAUCUUCUGCAGACAGCAAGAAAUCCGCUACUGCUCUUACUACCUGUCCAACAGUUGUGGAGGAUUUUUUCCCCUUGGUGCUUGACAUGACAUGUUUUGCCCUCUGCCCUUAAAAUCUCAAUUCUUGUUACAUUUUUCAUCCAUUUUCUAUCUCCUGAUGGACCUGUAUUGAUUAAAAAAC